AACGUAGGUGGCGAGCGUUAUCCGGAUUUACUGGGCGUAAAGGGUGUGCAGGCGGGGGGACAAGUGGGGUAUGAAACCUCCAGGCUCAACCUGGAGACGCCACCCGAUACUGCUGUGACUGGAGUCCGGUAGGGGAGCGUGGAAUUCCUGGUGUAGCGGUGAAAUGCGCAGAUAUCAGGAGGAACACCAGCGGCGAAGGCGGCGCUCUGGGCCGGUACUGACGCUGAGGAGCGAAAGCGUGGGUAGCAAACAGG
rnacentral:rRNA from 1 species